AUGAAGGGCCCUCUUAUGGCUGUUAGGGAGGGUUGCGCUAGUGAAGAAGGCCUGCCUAGGGCAUUCAUUAAAAGAAGAUAGUUAAGUUAGUCAAGAUAGUGAGUAAGGUUACGGAGCAUUCCACUGAAGCAAUUCACCGGCAGGAUUCAGGAAGCGUGAAAGCGGUCAGAUGGAAGUUGUUCUUACUUUCGAACGGAGAAGCACCAUCUCCACUCUCCGCGGGGGGAGCUUAUGACGGAGCGUACCUAUCGGUCGUACGUCAAUCAGAUAACGGAACGUGGCACCCGACAAAGCGUUCCCUAUCAGCGGGUGCUCCAAGCCGUCAUAAGCUCUCACCUUCUUUUAGACAGAAGGGAUGGAUGGUCGGUGGUUUUGAUAGUGAAUGA